AGAGUUUGAUCAUGGCUCAGGAUGAACGCUAGCUACAGGCUUAACACAUGCAAGUCGAGGGGAAACGACAUCGAAAGCUUGCUUUUGAUGGGCGUCGACCGGCGCACGGGGUGAGUAACGCGUAUCCAACCUGCCCACCACUUGGGGAUAACCUUGCGAAAGUAAGACUAAUACCCAAUGACGUCUCUAGAAGACAUCUGAAAAGAGAUUAAAAGAUUUUAUCGGUGAUGGAUGGGGAUGCGUCUGAUUAGCUUGUUGGCGGGGUAACGGCCACCAAGGCGACGAUCAGUAGGGGUUCUGAGAGGAAGGUCCCCACAUUGGAACUGAGACACGGUCCAAACUCCUACGGGAGGCA
rnacentral:rRNA from 1 species